rnacentral:misc_RNA from 1 species
AUCGUACUCACCAUGAUCAUCCAUGUAAUAGCUAGAGCUGUAAUAAGCCAUUCUUUAUCCAACUAUCUGCCUUUCAAUUUGUCUGCAAAAGUCAAGAUUCACAUAUAUUCUGAAAAAUCAAAAGGAUGAAGAAAGCUGUUUCUUGCACAUCUGAGCUUGUCCCAAUUCAGAUGCCUUAAUCAUCUGCAAGAAUUGAAAACGUACACCUACAGUUACUAUCCUCAUCUGAUAAAAGAAAGAUUGGUGUGAUGUAACUGUCAGAAGAAAAGCCCACCAAAAAGAAUCUGUCGUUUUGUGAUUUCAAUGAUACGAAUCCAAGCAAGAUACUUUCUCUCUGUUAAAGAAGACAAGCAUGUGCCUUUGCCCUCAGUCCGUUAAAAGGACCGAACUUUCAAGGCUAUAUAUGAUGGAAAACACUAGCUUCACUGUACCUGGUUUGAGAGAAAUAGUAAUGAAAACAACCCAAAAGCCUUAAGCAUCCCAGUAAAUAUUCUUUUUAAGGUUGUAA